GCACAGGGACGACCCUGGGCGCGUCGCGCUUUCCCCUGCUGGGACGACCCAG
rnacentral:ncRNA from 1 species